rnacentral:rRNA from 1 species
UAGGGAAUCUUCGGCAAUGGACGAAAGUCUGACCGAGCAACGCCGCGUGAGUGAAGAAGGUUUUCGGAUCGUAAAACUCUGUUGGUAGAGAAGAACGUUGGUGAGAGUGGAAAGCUCAUCAAGUGACGGUAACUACCCAGAGAGGGACGGCUAACUACGUGCCAGCAGCCGCGGUAAUACGUAGGUCCCGAGCGUUGUCCGGAUUCGAUUUGGGCGUAAAGCGAGCGCAGGUGGUUUAUUAAGUCUGGUGUAAAAGGCAGUGGCUCAACCAUUGUAUGCAUUGGAAACUGGUAGACUUGAGUGCAGGAGAGGAGAGUGGAAUUCCAUGUGUAGCGGUGAAAUUGCGUAGAUAUAUGGAGGAACACCGGUGGCGAAAGCGGCUCUCUGGCCUGUAAACUGACACUGAGGCUCGGAAGCGUGGGAGCAAACA